GUGAAUGUAUUUCAUGUCAAAGAGUCUUCAAAAAACCACUAGAGAGGUAAUAUAGAAGACACAGUAAAAAGCAACAUCUUGUUCUAGGCUUGGAUAUUUUCCCUAGCUGAAGUCUAGUGGAUGCGAACUCUGAAUGAUAGUUAUGUCUCAUGGAUUGUGUUUAGGGAUGCUUCUACUCUGCUCAGUUUGGGCAUUGGGUGUUAAUUUUGCGGAUGCCUCUGCAGCCCACAGCCUUGGCUCUACCCAGAGUGGAAGUGACCCCAGCAGCAAUGGGCCAAGAAAAUGUCAGCAUCGACUCAGCUAUACCCCCCAUGCAAAUGGCCUUCCUACCAUCCGCUUUGGAUCUGACGGCAGUGUGCGUUUCCCACGUGUCAACAAUCCUGGCAAGAGAGGAACUUCCUAUAAUGUAUUUGAUUUCGGUCAGAGAAGAUUAAUCACCACUGUCUAUAAGAGAGUUUGUUUACCACAUACCUUCCAUAGGGGCUGUAUCAGUAGCAGAGAUGAUCAUUUCCAAGGUGGAAGUGCCACCAACGGAUAUGCACCCAGGAAUAUUGAACAUCAGAGGCAUUAUUCUCCAAGUGUGGUCAAUUCUGGCCACACUGGAAAUGCUUUUGUCCGCUUUUGGUGUGGACGAGGCAGAAAUGACCCAAGUGGCUAUAAUUGCAAGUAUGUCCCCUGUAUUGUCAGUCCUUCAGCCAUUCAAAUAAGGUCUCUCCACAUUGGGAAUCCACCCAGUGUUGAUUACUCUGGCCUGAGUGCCACCGAUGUAGCAAAUCAUGGACAAAGUGGACAUUCUUAUCGUCACUUUGGGUCUGAAGCUAGUGGAUCUAUUCCCAGAAGCAUGCCUAGGAGUGUUGUUCCUUCCACCAUACACUUUGGGUCUGCCCACAG